AUGAGCUGCUUCCCGUGCUCGGGGUCCUCGGGGAAGGCCGGGGAGGACGCGGCGGCGCUCUCGCCGUCGCCCCGGCCGUCGGCGGCGAAGCCGGCGCCAGAUCGAUACAAUUCUCGUAGUUCAAGCUCUGUUCGCAGAGGAGGAAGUGCUCCACAUGGCCCGGCAAAGAUUUUCACUUUCCGAGAGCUAGCUAUUGCUACCAAGAAUUUCAGAAAAGAUUGUUUGUUGGGUGAAGGUGGUUUUGGUCGUGUCUAUAAAGGACACAUGGAGAAUGGACAGCAGGUUAUUGCUGUGAAGCAACUCGACAGAAACGGUUUCCAAGGAAAUCGUGAAUUUCUUGUGGAGGUUCUCAUGCUAAGCCUCUUGCACCAUCCCAAUCUUGUCAGAUUAAUUGGCUAUUGCGCAGAUGGUGAUCAGCGCCUCCUCGUUUAUGAGUAUAUGUUAUUGGGAUCGUUAGAAAAUCAUCUGCAUGACCGCCCACCAGACAGGGAGCCCCUUGAUUGGAAUGCAAGGAUGAGGAUAGCUGUCGGUGCAGCGAAAGGUUUGGAGUACCUGCAUGAUAAGGCAAAUCCACCGGUCAUAUAUAGAGAUUUCAAACCAUCAAAUAUUCUUCUGAGCGAAGAUUAUUACCCGAAGCUGUCUGACUUUGGGCUUGCUAAACUUGGCCCUGUUGGUGAAAACACUCAUGUAUCAACAAGAGUUAUGGGAACGUAUGGCUAUUGCGCUCCUGAAUAUGCGAUGACAGGGCAGUUGACAGUAAAGUCUGAUGUUUACAGUUUUGGUGUUGUGUUCCUUGAACUUGUUACAGGUCGGAGAGCCAUUGAUCACACCAAGCCUGAUGGGGAGUCAAAUCUUGUUGCAUGGGCUCGCCCGAUGUUCAGAGACCGUCGAAAGUUCUGCCAGAUGGCCGACCCGUUGCUGCAAGGCCGGUAUCCCAAGAGGGGUUUGUACCAGGCUUUAGCCGUUGCAGCAAUGUGUUUGCAGGAGAAAGCGGCGUCCAGGCCCCUCAUAGGGGACAUUGUCACUGCACUUUCUUAUCUAGCUUCCCAACAUCAUGAUCCGAAAAGCUGUAGGACCUGCCCGUCUACCCCAAGGGCGAAAGCACACCGACGGACAACCAGUUGUGUUCCUGAUGCUCAACGUGCAGCUGACACGCUUAACUGGGACGCCGUGGACUUGAGGAGAAAGGAGGCUAGAGGAGGGGAGUUUGAAGAGGAUCUCAGUGAAGGCUGCUGCAGUGGCAGUAGCUCUGGGAGGAAUGAUGGCCUGGAUGUGCCAGUACUGCUUGCCUUGCACAGUGGGAAGUCUUACAGUGAAGCUGAUAGAGAUCGCAAGUCUGCUGUCAAGGUCGAUGCCCACGAGAAACUGAGAGCAGACCCUGGCAAAUAUAGCAGGCAGGUUUGA
rnacentral:rRNA from 1 species